CGGGGCGGCCCCGAGCCGCCUGCAGCGGCGCCGCGCCGGGCGCCCUCGGCCUUCCCGUCCCGCUCUCCGGCCUCAGCGCCUCCCCGGGGCCGUGCGGGAGUCUCGGGGGCUCCGGGUCGCUUGUGCUGAACUCGGGAGAUCAUCGUGUGCCAAGCACAGGCACCGCUGUGUGCUUGCGAGGGAGCGUGAGGCGCCCCGGGCGAGGAGCCCAGCCCGCCGAUGCGGGCAGCACGGGAGGAUGCAGGCGACGGGAGGAGCUGUCGCGCAGGAUGUUCCCCGUUGUGCACGGACUGACGUGUGCAGCACAUGAUGUCUUCAGAAGAGGACUUUCCAGAGGAUGCCAGCUUUUCCUCCGGCAUCAGCACCAGCCGGCUGCAGCAGGAAAUGCCGCCAGAUGCCUCCAAAGACCUGCGGUGCUCCAUCUGCCUCAACACACUUGACGACACCGCCUACAUCACCGUCUGCAUGCACCGGUUCUGCUUCAGCUGUAUCUGGCAGAUAUGCAGGCGACGGGAGGAGCUGUCGGGUGAGUGCCCCCCAGCAGCGAGGGAGCAAAGCUAAAGCCCGAGGUGGCACGGGGGGGCCUGAGCAGCCUGCUCCCAGGGCCUCGGCUGUGCCUGCGGUGUGCGCAGCAGGGGGUCCCCCAGCGGUGCCUUCCUCCUUCUGGAGGCAUGGUGGCCCUGGGAGCAUCUGCAAAGCCCCAGGUCCAAGGUGGUUGGAGGGGGGCUGUUUCUGGGGCUGUGCAAUGGGUGCAGGUGCUGCGCUGCAGAGGCAGCAGCUGGCGCAUGCUCCACCCACAGGAAAGGCCCGUGCGCUCAAAGAAGCAGGAGCGCAGUUACAGCUGAGCUCCGGGGUGGGCCAGCCUCAGGGACAUCCCCUCUGCUGUCCCUCUGCCCGGAGAUGCUUUGGCAAACCACAGGAUCACCGAAUCACCAAAGAAUGGUUGGGGUUGGAAGGGACCUCCGGAGAGCCUCUAGUCCAGCCUCCCUGCUCAAGCAGGGUCCCCUAGAGCAGCUUAGCCAGCACCCUGUCCAGGUGCCUUUGCAAUAGCUCCAAGGAUGGAGCCUCCACAACGUCUCUGGGCAACCUCUUGCAGUGCUCUGGCACCCUCACACGAGGAAAGUUGUUCCUUCUGUUCAGACGCAACUUCCUGUGUUUCGCUUGGUGCCCGCUGCCUCUCGUCCUGUCCCUGGGCACCACUGAAGAGAGCCUGCCACCAUCCUCUUUACACCCUCCCCUCAGUUAUUUAUCGGCAUCGAUAAGAUUCCCCCAUCAGUCUUCGCUCCUCCAGGCUCCACAGGCCCAGCUCUCCCAGCCUUUCCUCACAGCAGAGAUGCUCCAGUCCCUUCCUCCUCUUCGGAGCCCUUUGCUCCACUGGCUCCACAUCUGUCUUGUACUGCGGAGCUCCGAACUGGACACAGUACGCCAGGGCUGGCCUCAGCAGGGUGGCUGAGGAGAGCACAUCACCUGCCUGGACCUGCUGGCAAGGCUCUGCUCUUCCUAAUGCAGCCCAGGAUGCCAUUGACUGCCCUUGCCGCAAGGGCCCAUUGCUGGCUCAUGGUCCACUUGUUGCCCCCCAGGACUCCCAGGUCCUGCUCGGCAGAGCUGCUUCCCAGCAGGUCGGGCCCAGCAUGUCCUGCUGCCUGCGCUUAGUCCUCCCCAGGAGCAGGA